rnacentral:rRNA from 3 species
CACUAUCGUUAACUGAAUACAUAGGUUAACGAGGCGAACCGGGGGAACUGAAACAUCUAAGUACCCCGAGGAAAAGAAAUCAACCGAGAUUCCCCCAGUAGCGGCGAGCGAACGGGGAGCAGCCCAGAGUCUGAAUCAGCUUGUGUGUUAGUGGAACGGUCUGGAAAGUCCGACGGUACAGGGUGAUAGUCCCGUACACCAAAAUGCACAGGUUGUGAACUCGAAGAGUAGGGCGGGACACGUGGUAUCCUGUCUGAAUAUGGGGGGACCAUCCUCCAAGGCUAAAUACUCCUGACUGACCGAUAGUGAACCAGUACCGUGAGGGAAAGGCGAAAAGAACCCCGGCGAGGGGAGUGAAAAAGAACCUGAAACCGUGUACGUACAAGCAGUGGGAGCACCUUCGGGUGUGACUGCGUACCUUUUGUAUAAUGGGUCAGCGACUUAUAUUCUGUAGCAAGGUUAACCGUAUAGGGGAGCCGCAGGGAAACCGAGUCUUAACUGGGCGUUAAGUUGCAGGGUAUAGACCCGAAACCCGGUGAUCUAGCCAUGGGCAGGUUGAAGGUUGGGUAACACUAACUGGAGGACCGAACCGACUAAUGUUGAAAAAUUAGCGGAUGACUUGUGGCUGGGGGUGAAAGGCCAAUCAAACCGGGAGAUAGCUGGUUCUCCCCGAAAGCUAUUUAGGUAGCGCCUCGUGAACUCAUCUUCGGGGGUAGAGCACUGUUUCGGCUAGGGGGUCAUCCCGACUUACCAACCCGAUGCAAACUACGAAUACCGAAGAAUGUUAUCACGGGAGACACACGGCGGGUGCUAACGUCCGUCGUGAAGAGGGAAACAACCCAGACCGCCAGCUAAGGUCCCAAAGUCAUGGUUAAGUGGGAAACGAUGUGGGAAGGCACAGACAGCCAGGAUGUUGGCUUAGAAGCAGCCAUCAUUUAAAGAAAGCGUAAUAGCUCACUGGUCGAGUCGGCCUGCGCGGAAGAUGUAACGGGGCUAAACCAUGCACCGAAGCUGCGGCAGCGAC